rnacentral:rRNA from 1 species
UUCUAAGGGCGUUGAAGCAUGAUCGCAAGGACAUGUGGAGCGCUUAGAAGUGAGAAUGCCGGUGUGAGUAGCGAAAGACGGGUGAGAAUCCCGUCCACCGAUUGACUAAGGUUUCCAGAGGAAGGCUCGUCCGCUCUGGGUUAGUCGGGUCCUAAGCUGAGGCCGACAGGCGUAGGCGAUGGAUAACAGGUUGAUAUUCCUGUACCACCAUUAUUCGUUUUAAGCGAUGGGGGGACGCAGUAGGAUAGGCGAAGCGUGCUGUUGGAGUGCACGUCCAAGCAGUGAGAUUGAGUGUUAGGCAAAUCCGGCACUCUUAAGAUUGAGCUGUGAUGGGGAGAGGAACUUGUUCCUCGAGUCGUUGAUUUCACACUGCCGAGAAAAGCCUCUAGCUAGAAUAACGGUGCCCGUACCGCAAACCGACACAGGUAGUCAAGAUGAGAAUUCUAAGGUGAGCGAGCGAACUCUCGUUAAGGAACUCGGCAAAAUGACCCCGUAACUUCGGGAGAAGGGGUGCUCUUUGAGGUUCACGCUUCGAAGAGCCGCAGUGAAUAGGCCCAAGCGACUGUUUAUCAAAAACACAGGUCUCUGCUAAACCGUAAGGUGACGUAUAGGGGCUGACGCCUGCCCGGUGCUGGAAGGUUAAGAGGAGUGGUUAGCGCAAGCGAAGCUACGAAUCGAAGCCCCAGUAAACGGCGGCCGUAACUAUAACGGUCCUAAGGUAGCGAAAUUCCUUGUCGGGUAAGUUCCGACCCGCACGAAAGGCGUAACGAUUUGGGCACUGUCUCAACGAGAGACUCGGUGAAAUCAUAGUACCGGUGAAGAUGCCGGUUACCCGCGACAGGACGGAAAGACCCCGUGGAGCUUUACUGUAGCCUGAUAUUGAAAUUCGGUACAGUUUGUACAGGAUAGGUAGGAGCCUUAGAAGCGUGAGCGCUAGCUUACGUGGAGGCAUUGGUGGGAUACUACCCUAAUUGUAUUGGAUUUCUAACCCGCAGCACUUAUCGUGCUGGGAGACAGUGUCAGGCGGGCAGUUUGACUGGGGCGGUCGCCUCCUAAAGAGUAACGGAGGCGCUCAAAGGUUCCCUCAGAAUGGUUGGAAAUCAUUCAUAGAGUGUAAAGGCAUAAGGGAGCUUGACUGCGAGACCUACAAGUCGAGCAGGGUCGAAAGACGGACUUAGUGAUCCGGUGGUUCCGCAUGGAAGGGCCAUCGCUCAACGGAUAAAAGCUACCCCGGGGAUAACAGGCUUAUCUCCCCCAAGAGUUCACAUCGACGGGGAGGUUUGGCACCUCGAUGUCGGCUCAUCGCAUCCUGGGGCUGUAGUCGGUCCCAAGGGUUGGGCUGUUCGCCCAUUAAAGCGGUACGCGAGCUGGGUUCAGAACGUCGUGAGACAGUUCGGUCCCUAUCCGUCGUGGGCGUAGGAAAUUUGAGAGGAGCUGUCCUUAGUACGAGAGGACCGGGAUGGACAUACCUCUGGUGUACCAGUUGUCGUGCCAACGGCAUAGCUGGGUAGCUAUGUAUGGACGGGAUAAGUGCUGAAAGCAUCUAAGCAUGAAGCCCCCCU